rnacentral:lncRNA from 1 species
AAAUAGAAGGAGAAAAAGCCAAAGAUGGAUACUUCAAAGAAGGCUGCAGUCAAAGAAAAGUGUUUCCACUAUAAUGCUAACGACCAUUGAAAGUGGAAUUGUCCAUUAUAUCUGAAAACCCUAAAGUCUAAGAAGGAUGAUACACCUUCAAAAGGUAUGUCUAAUAUGCUCAUUAUUGAAUCUAACUUAAUGAUUUCUUCUACUUCUAGUUGGAUAUUAGACAUUGGCUCAAGUGCUCAUGUAUGUACUUCUAUGUAGAGUUUGAUAGAAAGUAGAAGGUUGAAAGAAGGAGAAAUAGUCCUUC